CACGUGAGAACCUGCCUCGGAGACCGGGACAACCAUUGGAAACGAUGGCUAAUACCGGAUGCCCUCAUUUGGCCGCAUGGCCGAAUGAGGAAAUGAUCCGUCGCUCCGGGAGGGUCUCGCGGCCUAUCAGCUAGUUGGUGAGGUAACGGCUCACCAAGGCAUCGACGGGUAGCUGGUCUGAGAGGACGAUCAGCCACACUGGGACUGAGACACGGCCCAGACUCCUACGGGAGGCAGCAGUAGGGAAUCUUGCACAAUGGGCGAAAGCCUGAUGCAGCGACGCCGCGUGGGGGAUGAAGG
rnacentral:rRNA from 1 species